GACGAACGCUGGCGGCGUGCUUAACACAUGCAAGUCGAACGGAAAGGCCCUGCUUUUGUGGGGUGCUCGAGUGGCGAACGGGUGAGUAACACGUGAGUAACCUGCCCUUGACUUUGGGAUAACUUCAGGAAACUGGGGCUAAUACCGGAUAGGAGCUCCUGCUGCAUGGUGGGGGUUGGAAAGUUUCGGCGGUUGGGGAUGGACUCGCGGCUUAUCAGCUUGUUGGUGGGGUAGUGGCUUACCAAGGCUUUGACGGGUAGCCGGCCUGAGAGGGUGACCGGACAGAUUGGGACUGAGAUACGGCCCAGACUCCUACGGGAGGCAGCAGUGGGGAAUAUUGCACAAUGGGCGGAAGCCUGAUGCAGCAACGCCGCGUGCGGGAUGACGGCCUUCGGGUUGUAAACCGCUUUCGCCUGUGACGAAGCGUGAGUGACGGUAAUGGGUAAAGAAGCACCGGCUAACUACGUG
rnacentral:rRNA from 1 species